rnacentral:rRNA from 1 species
AUUGAACGCUGGCGGCAUGCUUUACACAUGCAAGUCGAACGGUAACAGGCCUUCGGGUGCUGACGAGUGGCGAACGGGUGAGUAAUGCAUCGGAACGUGCCCAAUCGUGGGGGAUAACGUAGCGAAAGUUACGCUAAUACCGCAUAAGCCCUGAGGGGGAAAGUGGGGGACCGCAAGGCCUCACGCGAAUGGAGCGGCCGAUGUCAGAUUAGCUAGUUGGUGGGGUAAAGGCUCACCAAGGCGACGAUCUGUAGCGGGUCUGAGAGGAUGAUCCGCCACACUGGGACUGAGACACGGCCCAGACUCCUACGGGGGGCAGCAGUGGGGAAUUUUGGACAAUGGGCGCAAGCCUGAUCCAGCCAUG